AUUGAACGCUGGCGGCAGGCCUAACACAUGCAAGUCGAGCGGAUGAAGGGAGCUUGCUCCUGGAUUCAGCGGCGGACGGGUGAGUAAUGCCUAGGAAUCUGCCUGGUAGUGGGGGAUAACGUCCGGAAACGGGCGCUAAUACCGCAUACGUCCUGAGGGAGAAAGUGGGGGAUCUUCGGACCUCACGCUAUCAGAUGAGCCUAGGUCGGAUUAGCUAGUUGGUGGGGUAAAGGCCUACCAAGGCGACGAUCCGUAACUGGUCUGAGAGGAUGAUCAGUCACACUGGAACUGAGACACGGUCCAGACUCCUACGGGAGGCAGCAGUGGGGAAUAUUGGACAAUGGGCGAAAGCCUGAUCCAGCCAUGCCGCGUGUGUGAAGAAGGUCUUCGGAUUGUAAAGCACUUUAAGUUGGGAGGAAGGGCAGUAAGUUAAUACCUUGCCGUUUUGACGUUACCAACAGAAUAAGCACCGGCUAACUUCGU
rnacentral:rRNA from 1 species